rnacentral:rRNA from 1 species
UUAGCAUAUCAAUAAGCGGAGGAAAAGAAACCAACAGGGAUUGCCCUAGUAACGGCGAGUGAAGCGGCAACAGCUCAAAUUUGAAAUCUGGCCUCGGCCCGAGUUGUAAUUUGCAGAGGAUGCUUUUGGUGCGGUGCCUUCCGAGUUCCCUGGAACGGGACGCCACAGAGGGUGAGAGCCCCGUAUGGUCGGACACCAAUCCUGUGUAAAGCUCCUUCGACGAGUCGAGUAGUUUGGGAAUGCUGCUCUAAAUGGGAGGUAAAUCUCUUCUAAAGCUAAAUACCGGCCAGAGACCGAUAGCGCACAAGUAGAGUGAUCGAAAGAUGAAAAGCACCUUGAAAAGGGGGUUAAACAGUACGUGAAAUUGUUGAAAGGGAAGCACUUGUGACCAGACUUGGGCCGGGCGGCUCAUCAGGGGUUCUCCCCUGUGCAUUCCGCCCGGUACAGGCCAGCAUCGGUUCUUACCGGGGGAUAAGAACGGCAGGAACGUGGCUCCCUCUCGGGGGAGUGUUAUAGCCUGCCGUACGAUACCCUGGCGGGGACCGAGGUUCGCGCUUCCGCAAGGAUGCUGGCGUAAUGGUUACUAGUGACCCGUCUUGAAACACGGACCAAGGAGUCGUCCAUUAGAGCGAGCGUUUGGGUGUAAAACCCGCACGCGUAAUGAAAGUGAAAUUAGGUGAGAGCUUCGGCGCAUCAUCGACCGAUCCUGAUGUUCUCGGAUGGAUUUGAGUAAGAGUUUUAACGGACGGACCCGAAAGACAGUGAACUAUGCUUGUAUAGGGUGAAGCCAGAGGAAACUCUGGUGGAGGCUCGCAGCGGUUCUGACGUGCAAAUCGAUCGUCAAAUAUGAGCAUGGGGGCGAAAGACUAAUCGAACUGUCUACUA